GACGAACGCUGGCGGCGUGCCUAAUACAUGCAAGUAGAACGCUGAAGAGAGGAGCUUGCUCUUCUUGGAUGAGUUGCGAACGGGUGAGUAACGCGUAGGUAACCUGCCUGGUAGCGGGGGAUAACUAUUGGAAACGAUAGCUAAUACCGCAUAAAAUUGAUUAUUGCAUGAUAAUUAAUUGAAAGAUGCAAUUGCAUCACUACCAGAUGGACCUGCGUUGUAUUAGCUAGUUGGUGAGGUAACGGCUCACCAAGGCGACGAUACAUAGCCGACCUGAGAGGGUGAUCGGCCACACUGGGACUGAGACACGGCCCAGACUCCUACGGGAGGCAGCAGUAGGGAAUCUUCGGCAAUGGGGGGAACCCUGACCGAGCAACGCCGCGUGAGUGAAGAAGGUUUUCGGAUCGUAAAGCUCCGUUGUAAGAGAAGAACGGGUGUGAGAGUGGAAAGUUCACACUGUGACGUAUCUACCAGAAAGGACG
rnacentral:rRNA from 1 species